AAUGGUGGGUCUUUUGCUCGGUCGGUCAGAAGGGCCAUUGGGAGGCAACUCGCAAAAUAAAUACAACACUACGAUGUAAAACCCCGCGCGCCCUGCAAAAAAUCGCAAACACAUGUAUCCGUAUCCGUAUCUAUCUGUGUAGCCGCGGCGAAUGAAAACAUGAGAAU